rnacentral:lncRNA from 1 species
AUUGGGUAAAUUAUAUCUGGUAAAAAUGACCUGACAAAAGUGAUGGAGUAACGUUUUACAGUGAAAGUGUUUUAGGUUUACGGAAAAACCAAAACUUACCAACUUCGGACAUUUCUGGAACGCUGGCAAAGUAAAUUUCCUUUGCAAAUUUUGGCGCGUUGUCGUUGAUGUCGUGAAUCUUGAUGUUGAACUCGGUGUCCGGCUCCAGUCGGCGUCUGUGAGUCACGGCUUGCGUCGAUCACGGCGUUUCCUCCGGUCAGCUUGGUUACGUUGGUCGCUCUCUGUCCAGGGACCUUCUGGCGACGCAGCGGAUUGUACAUGGCCUUCUCCUCGCGGUCCAGCCUCUUGGUGGCGUGGAUGUCGCCGGACUUCUCGUCGAUCAGGAAGAGGGUUCCCGCCCCGUUCCAGGUGUCAGGUACGUAUUCACCGUUGCCCGUCACCUUUGUCCAUGUUGGAGUGCAGCUGGAACGGACAGAGAGGAGCCGUCACGUUUAAUGGUGAGAUAUUGGAACCCAGAUGAGUGUGGAGCCGGUAAAUGUGAUUGCUGUCACGCCCCAGAAGUUGGGCGGCGAAAAGCCUCAAAGAGCGGAGAAAAGAGGCAACAUCUCCCCCAUUAUUGACGUGUCACGGGACGGCCUCCGAAUUUGCUUUGCUGCAUCAUCACUUAUCAGAACAAGGUGAAUUCAUUGGCCCUUUCUGAUUGAUCUGUUCCUCCCCGCUCUUCUGCUUUUUUUUUCAUUUAUUGUCUGCUGGAUUUUUUUCCGUCUUUUCAUCCGCAUCAGGAUGACGGUUUCUGCAAAAGAAGUUGUCAUCCCCCGACUCAACCUUUCACGAGACGCUUGUUUACUCCGGAGAAUGCGGCGUGUGAUGAAAGCGAGCUUCCUCCAAGAAAAUUGGCUGUCGACAGUCACCUCAUUUCCCUGUGAGUUGAUAACUGAAGCGUUCCCAUCACACCUGUCUUUAUAGUGGCAGCACGAGUGAGCUGACAGGAACCUUUCUGAUCUGGGUGAAUGGGGAUGGAGUAGCAGAGCUGAAACUCUCCAGGAG